rnacentral:rRNA from 1 species
CCCUUAGAUGUUCUGGGCUGCACGCGCGCUACACUGAUGCGUUCAACGAGUUUAUGACCUUGCCCGAUAGGGUUGGGUAAUCUUUUUAAAUCGCAUCGUGAUGGGGAUAGAUUAUUGCAAUUAUUAAUCUUCAACGAGGAAUUCCUAGUAAGCGCGAGUCAUCAGCUCGUGCUGAUUACGUCCCUGCCCUUUGUACACACCGCCCGUCGCUCAUACCGAUUGAGUGAUCCGGUGAAUAAUUCGGACUGCAGCAGUGUUCAGUUCCUGAACGUUGCAGCGGAAAGUUUAGUGAACCUUAUCACUUAGAGGAAGGAGAAGUCGUAACA